rnacentral:tRNA from 1 species
GGCGGAAUAGCUCAGUUGGCUAGAGCAUCCGGUUCAUACCCGGCAGGUCACCGGUUCAAAUCCAGUUUCCGCCACCA